rnacentral:rRNA from 1 species
GACGAACGCUGGCGGCGUGCUUAACACAUGCAAGUCGAACGAGUGGCGAACGGGUGAGUAACACGUGGGUGACCUGCCCUGCACUUCGGGAUAAGCCUAGGAAACUGGGUCUCCUACCGGCUAGUGUGGGAUGGGCCCGCGGCCUAUCAGCUUGUUGGUGGGGUAAUUGCUACCAAGGCUCGACGGGUAGCCGGCCUGAUAGGGUGGACGGACACAUUGGGACUGAGACACUGCCCAGACUCCUACGGGAGGCAGCAGUGGGGAAUAUUGGACAAUGGGCGAAAGCCGGAUCCAGCCAUGCCGCGUGUGUGAAGAAGGUCUUCGGAUUGUAAAGCACUUUAAGUUGGGAGGCGUUACCAACAGAAUAAGCACCGGCUAACUUCGUGCCAGCAGCCGCGGUAAUAC